rnacentral:rRNA from 1 species
UACGUAGGGACCAAGCGUUGUUCGGAUUUACUGGGCGUACAGGGAGCGUAGGCGGUUGGGUAAGCCCUCCGUGAAAUCUCCGGGCCUAACCCGGAAAGUGCGGAGGGGACUGCUCGGCUAGAGGAUGGGAGAGGAGCGCGGAAUUCCCGGUGUAGCGGUGAAAUGCGUAGAGAUCGGGAGGAAGGCCGGUGGCGAAGGCGGCGCUCUGGAACAUUUCUGACGCUGAGGCUCGAAAGCGUGGGGAGCAAACAGG